rnacentral:lncRNA from 10 species
CCUGCACCCAGGCGCUCAUUAAAACAGCAUGUUGCUCCCCACUGCCUCGUGUUGUCUGUUGGCGCGCUGUCGGGGUUCGAACCGAUACAAGAACCUUCCACCUACCUGGUGCUUUGGCCUCAUCUAUAAGCGGCCAGUCAUCUGCCCUAAGUGCUGCCGCCGAAGACUGAAUGUCCUGGAAAGUUUGCUGUCACAUCUCCAUUAUGACAAAAGCAUUGUGCCGAACAGAUGAAAAAAUGCAUUGUCAACGGAAUCUUUUAUGUUUGUU